GCGGUCAAAUUUUCUUGCUUCCUUCAAAAUUUCCUAUUAUAACGUCAUGAAAAAGGCAACCAUGUAAUUGUUGGGAUUUGUUUUUGUAUAGACUAGUGUAAGCAGGUUCUUAACAUGGAAACUAAAUCACUUUUAUUGACCACUAUAUUGAUAUAGUCAAUAAAAUAAAUUGUUGCUCAGUGCGCCAGUUACCAGUUAUACAAUAUAUACGGGUUAGUAUAUUUGAUUUGAUUUGUUAAAGGACUACACAUGGGGACUUCAAAUAUUUGAUAAAGGGUGUCCUAAAAAUAUGGGGUUAGUUACCCUAUUGGGUUAGUUAGUUACCAUAUGGUGUUCGUAAGGAGUUACUUCUUUUUCAAAACAAGCAAAAAAUCUGAAAGAUUUCAACAAACAAGGAAAUUGAUAAUAGACUUUUGAAAUCAAUUCAUAAAACAAAUUUAAAGCUAACAAGUUGGUAUUGAUGGCAUUUGCUUUUUGUAUAACAGAGUAUUGAAGCCUUAAUCACUUUGCUAGUCUGAAUACCACAUGUGAAGAUAGCCAGUGAGAUAUAAUAUUCCAUAUGGGGAUUUACUGACCCCAUAUAUAUCUUAAUAGGUCACUAACUACAAAUAUUAUAAAAUAGGUUUUUCAAACUGUAAUAAAAAACGUAACAUAAUGUAGAUAUCACUGUGUGGGAUCAAUACAAAAUAAAUAAUCAUUUUCUUCAUGCUAAAUAUCCAUAUAGACACAUGUUUGUUUCAUGCUAAAUAUCCAUAUAGGCACAUGUUUGUUUGAAUGUAACUCAGCUCUAGAAUUAUGCAAUCAAUAUAUAUAUAUAUUUUGAUUAAUAAAAAGUCCUUGGUACAGAUAAUAUAGUUUUAAGAUAAAAAAAACACAAAAAAAAUCACAUUAUAAAUUGAACUUUGUUUUUAUGCCCCACCUACGAUAGUAGAGGGGCAUUAUGUUUUCUGGUCUGUGCCUCCUUUCGUCCGUCCGUCUGUCUGUGCCUCCGUUCGUCCGUCCGGUUAAAGUUUUUGGUCGAGGUAGUUUUUGAUGAAGCUGAAGUCCAAUCAACUUGAAACUUAAUACACAUGUUCCCCAUGAUAUGAUCUUUCUAAUUUUAAUGCCAAAUUAUAGUUUUGACCUCAAUUUCAUGGUCCACUGAACAUAGAAAAUGAUAGUGCAAAGUUCAGGUUAAAGUUUUUGGUCAAGGUAGUUUUUGAUGAAGUUAAAGUUACAUCAACCUGAAACUUAGUACACAUGUUCCCUAUGAUAUGAUCUUUCUAAUUUUAAUUCCAAAUUAAAGUUUUGACCCCAAUUUCAUGGUCCACUGAACAUAGAAAAUGAUAGUGGGAGUGGGGCAUCCGUGUACUAUGGACACAUUCUUGUUGUUAGUGCUUUCACGGCAUCUCCUACGGUUCAUGAGACAGAAUUGUUAUUGUUAGUAGGGACUUGUGACUUGUGACUUUACCUAAUAUCUUGCAGUAGUUAGUAUAUAUUACAGAAUCAUAUUCACGGACUGAAUUUCACUUCCUAUUUAAAGUUGUCUUGUACAGUUCAAUUGUUCCUUGGAAUCACACAGAAUUUUUUCUUUGGUCCACAUCUUAAAAAAGGGAUAUAUUUAAAAUAUUCCCUUUCCACAUGUGUCAAAGUCCUUACUAUUAAAAUAGCAAUUCUGUCUGAUGAACCGUAUGAGAUGCUGUGAAAAUGCUAACAGAAACAAUGUUCUAUUUAUAAUGUGAUGUUUGUGUAUUUUAUCUUUAAUCUAUAUAUAUAUAUAUAUAUAUAUAUAAUCUUUUGGGCUCAUUAGCAUCAGAAUGCAUUAUAACAUUUGAAUAUAAUAAUUUAUUUUUAAAAGGUGCUAGUCAAAACAUUCAAUUAAAAUUGAGAAAGGAAAUGGGGAAUGUGUCAAAGCGACAACAACCCGACCAUAGAGCAGACAACAGCCGAAGGCCACCAAUGGGUCUUCAAUGUAGCAAGAAUUCCAGCACCUGUAGGUGUCCUUCAGCUGGCCUCUAAAAAAAAUGUAUAUUAGUACAGUGAUGAUUGUUCAUUUUCAUCCAGGAAUAGACCAAAAUAAUUUAAAUAUAAUUAUAUGAUGUUUUUUUUUUAUUGUCAAUGUAUUACUACUUUCUGUUUUAUACUGACCAAAGGCCUAAGACAUUAUAUUUACAUGAUACAACUUAUCUUUGAACAAUUUUAAAGAAAAUAUCUACUUUCAAACAAAACAAAAUAAGUGAUACCACCAAUUUAUAUUUAUGACAAUCUGUAACACUUCUAAUAAAGUCUGACCAUAAUUUUAAUCAUUAUAUAUAUGCUUUCCACUGUUAUGAAGAAAAUAAUGAAAACUAAAUAGAUAAAUCCUGAAACAUAAUUUGAUUGGAAACAAUGGCUCACAGCUUCAGCAGGCAAGAAAGAGGGUUGUAAUUGGUAAUAGGGGUACCUUUAUGACCAAUAACAGUAAAAACGUUUCUGUGUUGUCUUAGAGUAGAAAAUUUCUUUUAACUUAUUAUUGUGCUGUGUACUGUAAAACUAGAUAAACAAAAAAACAUGAAGAUAUGGAAACAGGCAUUACUAAAUUAAAUAGCUACACAGUAUUUGUAGUUACUAUAUUCAAUUCAUACAUGUAUAUUUUUAUUAGUAAAGUAUUUCUAUUAUGUUAUAUCUAAUUCAUCCAUUGAAAGGUCAUAUGUAUAUUUGCCUUAGAUUUCAGAUCAAACCUUUGUAGAAGUUAAAUGUUCUAUUUGUAUGUAUAAGAUAUAAGACAUCUGGUUUAGGUAGAAGUAAAACAUGAAAAAGUUUUUCUGUAAUUUUCUA
rnacentral:lncRNA from 1 species